rnacentral:rRNA from 1 species
AUGGCAGGACCUCCCUCGGAGCUCUUGGGCCUCGUGCUUCAGCGCGUGCCGUCCCACGCCGACCGCGCGCGGUCUGCCGCCCGUGGCGCGCCGCCGCGCCUGCAGCCUGCGCUACCAGCGCUGCUCCCGUGGCUCGCCCUCCGCGACGGCUCCUUCCUCAGCCUCCCCGACGGCGAGGUCCACCGCCGCGUCCUCCUCCCGGAGGACGACGUGGCUCAUCGUGUCUCCACCGGCAGCACCCUCUUCCUCGUGCACAGCGACGAUAGAUGCUCGCUGAUGAGCCCUCUCUCCCGGGAGACGAUGGACCCUCGGUGCGUCGACCUGAACCGCCUCUGCACUUGGCCCCGCCUCCUGCGUGACACCAACAACAUCCACAAGGUUGUCGUGAUGUCUGACCACGUCGUGGCCGUCCGGACUGGAAACCGAGUGUACAGUCACGACGUCACAAUCUCUAUUCGCCGGCCGCAGUCGAUGACCGUGAUAUGGCCCUGGGCGCCCCCUGGGCAGACCUAUUCCUCCGUCCUGGACAUGGCGCUCUUCCAAGGCAAGCUCUACGUCCUCAUCACGACAAAUGUGACUGUGUACCGUCUUUUCGCCGUGGACAUUGUCGGCGGCGAAAAUAUCGGAGUCCGAUGCGUGCUCACCACGUCAAGAGAUGAUACGGAAACAGAGGAUAGAUGGGCAAAAGCCUACGCCCGGGCGAUGGAGGCCCUGGCGCCGCCGAGUCACUGCCGCCGUCGUCGCCCAUGGCAGGACCUCCCGUCGGAGCUCUUGGGCCUCGUGCUUCAGCGCGUGCCGUCCCACGCCGACCGCGCGCGGUCUGCCGCCCGUGGCGCGCCGCCGCGCCUGCAGCCUGCGCUACCAGCGCUGCUCCCGUGGCUCGCCCUCCGCGACGGCUCCUUCCUCAGCCUCCCCGACGGCGAGGUCCACCGCCGCAUCCUCAUCCUGGAGGACGACGUCGCCCACCGUGUCUCCACCGGCAGCACCCUCUUCCUCGUGCACAGAAACGACGGGUGCUCGCUGAUGAACCCUCUCUCCCGGGAUGCUACUGCCCCGCGGUGCAUCAACCUAAACACUGGGCCGGGCGUCCUGGUCGACACCGACAACAUCCGCAAGGUGGUGGUGAUGUCCGACCACGUCGUAGCAGUCCGGACAGGACACCGAAUGUACCUUAAGGACGUCAUCAUCUCUAUUUGUCGGCCCCAGUCGUUGACUGUGGAAUGGCGGUGGUCACCCCCUCAAGACACUUAUUCCUCCGUCCUCGACAUGGCGCUCUUCCAAGGCAAGCUCUACGUCCUCACCAGAAAUCAUUUUAACGUGCACCCUCUACGUCUUUACGCCAUGGACAUCGUCGGCGACAACCAUGUCAGAGUCCAAUGCAUGCUCACCACGCCAAAAGAUGGUGCGGACGCAUGGUAUAAGACUGGCACCCCCUGCCACUACCUGGUUGCGUCCGGUGAUCGGUUGUUGAUGGCGAAACAAAAGAGGACUGGGAUCGAGGUCUUCGAGGCAGCAGGCCUGAGCAGCGGCCAAGGAAGCUGGAGAAAGGUCCAUACACUGAUGGGACGGGCUCUCUUCCUCAGCGAAGGCUGCUCCGAGUCCCUCCCAGCCGGCGGCAAUCAACACGCCGGAGCUCAAGAAGACUGCAUCUACUUUAUGAGUGAACGUGUGGCUUACGAUGGCAGGACGAGGGAAUGCCGCUCCGGCGUGUACGACAUGAGAGAUGGAACUGUCUCGCCCUUGCCGUUUGAGACAACGGCUGCACGUGAAGGAAGCGAAGCCGCCGUCAUGGAUGCUGACUACUGGCAUGUGCUCGCUGGUGCCGCCCAGACCAAGGGCCUGCCCCGGCUCCCUUCUCUCCUCAGCCCCUCUUUGCGGCAUCCGCAAAAACUAGAGGAUCGAUUAGACCCAUCUAGGGCAAAAGCGUACGCCCAGGCGAUGGAGACCCUGGCACCGCCGAGUCACGGCCGCCGUCGUCGCCCAUGGCAGGACCUCCCAUCGGAGCUCUUGGGCCUCGUGCUCCAGCGUGUGCCGUCCCACGCCGACCGCGUCCGCCUGCGCGCCGUUUGCCGCGCGUGGCGCGCCAGCGCGCGCCUGCAGCCUGCGCUACCAGCGCUGCUCCCGUGGCUCGCCCUCCGCGACGGUUCCUUCCUCAGCCUCCCCGACGGCGAGGUCCACCGCCGCGUCCUCGUCCCGGACGACGACGUCGCCCACCGUGUCUCCACCGGCAGCACCCUCUUCCUCGUGCACAGCAACGACGAGUGCUCUCUGAUGAACCCUCUCUCCCGGUCCCGGGAGACAACGGCCUCUCGAUGCGUCGACCUCAACUGCCUCCGCACUCAGCCAGGCGUCCUGGUCGACACCGACAACAUCCGCAAGGUGGUGGUGAUGUCCGACCACGUCGUGGCAGUCCGGACAGGACCCCGAAUGUACCUUAAGGACGUCACUAUCUCUAUUCGUCGGCCCCAGUCGACAACCGUGGAAUGGCGGUGGUCACCCCCUGGAGACACCUAUUCCUCCGUCCGUGACAUAGCGCUCUUCCAAGACAAGCUCUACGUCCUUACCGUAACAAAUUAUGGUGUGUACCCUCUACGUCUUUACACCAUGGACAUUGUCAGCGACAACCAUGUGAGCUUCCAACGCAUGAUCGCCAUGCUAGAAGAUGACGUGCGCGACUGGAAUGCUGGCGACCUUGACCACUACCUGGUUGCGUCCGGGGAUCGGCUGUUGAUGGUGAAACGAAUGAGGGAAGUUGUUAUCGUGCUGCCGGGCCCGAGGCUGGUGAUCAUGCCGACUUGGUUCGAGGUCUUCGAGGCAGCCGACCUGGGCAGCGGUCGAGGAUGCUGGAGAAAGGUCAGUACCCUGAUGGGACGGGCUCUCUUCCUCAGCGAAGGCUGCUCCGAGUCUCUUCCAGCCGGCGGUGCCCAAAACGUCGGACCUCGAGAGGAUUGCAUCUACUUUCUGAAUGAAUGCAACCGUUACGAUGCGAGGACGAGGAGCCUUUGCUCCGGCGUGUACAACAUGAGAGAUGGGACUUUCUCGCCCUUGCCGUUUCAGGCAGCGGUUGCACGUGAAGGUCCAUUGACAUCCACUUGGUUUUUCCCUGCGGAUACAUGA